UUAUUUUUUCUAGAUUCAAAGAAAUAAAUUUUCUUCUUUAUUUACUAAUUUAUCUCAAUCAAUUCAUCAUAACUUAAUUCUUUCUUAUCUUCUCCAAUUCUUUACCUAAGCUACUAUAAAGUUUAGCAACCUGACUUCUACUCUUCUGAAUCAAAACUCUAGUAAAUUCUUUCAAAUGCAUGGAAGAUGUUUGGGAGAGUAAUGAGACUCUUUUUUUAAUUGCUGAGGAUUAUACAUAACCCAUAAUAUAUCUCUGUCAAAUUCAAAGAAAUAAAUUCUCUUCUUUAUUUACUAAUUUAUCUCAAUCAAUUCAUCAUAACUUAAUUCUUUCUUAUCUUCUUCAAUUCUUUACUUAAGC